rnacentral:lncRNA from 1 species
AUGUGUGUGACUAUAUAUUGCUUUCCUUUUCUUAAGAAAAUCUUAAAGGAAUCAUGGGGAAGACAACAUGAACAUCGCCUGCUUUCCAGACCGAUCUGGUCCUGCCCUCUUCCUCCAUCUGCUUAUUUUAGCCACAUUGCCGUCCACCUCGGUGCACUUCUGCACAGCCUCCCCACACCCCGGCCAUUAAUCACGCAACAACAAAUACCUUGGGAGCACCGCUUGAAAAAUGAGUCAGCUUUGGAGCUCUCUGCUUCAUGUUUGUUUUUUUUUUUAAUUUUUUUUCAACGUUUAUUUAUUUUUGGGACAGAGAGAGACAGAGCCUGAACGGGGGAGGGGCAGAGAGAGAGGGAGACACAGAAUCGGAAACAGGCUCCAGGCUCUGAGCCAUCAGCCCAGAGCCUGACGCGGGGCUCGAACUCACGGACCGCGAGAUCGUGACCUGGCUGAAGUCGGACGCUUAACCGACUGCGCCACCCAGGCGCCCCCUCUGCUUCAUGUUUUAAUGGAGCUUCAGUAAAACUAUUUAGAGACCACUUUGGGAUAAUUCUGCUUUUUGAAAUAAAAAAUGGAAGCCCCCUCA